rnacentral:tRNA from 1 species
UUGGAUCACCUCCUAACAGGGAGACACACAAUGAUUUUGAUGCCUGAGUACUUUUAUUCUUAGGUCAAAAUCCUGUCACCUUAGGUCGAUCGGUACCUCAGCUUUGAGUUUAUCGAAUUUGUAGCAAUGCAAAUGAGGAUGAAGUCAAUUCUUAGUUCCUAAACUUUGUCUAGGUCACACCCCAAAAGGGAUGAGACUCCUGGGCCAUUAGCUCAGGUGGUUAGAGCGCACCCCUGAUAAGGGUGAGGUCCCUGGUUCAAGUCCAGGAUGGCCCAUUCGGUGUUGGGGGUUUAGCUCAGUUGGUAGAGCGCCUGCUUUGCAAGCAGGAUGUCAGGAGUUCGAGUCUCCUAACCUCCACUGACCGAACUGUAUCCCCAUCUCCAAGAUGUUGGAGUUGAGCUCGAUUGGAGUGUGAUUUAGAUGUGUCCGCUGGAAGACCCCAGCUUCCUGUCAUUCCAAAGACAAGUAAAAAGUUUACUUGUUGACUUUGGUUGAUAAGAUGCUGGUCUCAAAUGAGUUGAUCAAGCAAUUGAUCAAUUGAUUUGAAGUUCUAGCAGAACCUUGACAACUGCAUAGGUAAGUCUGGAAAGAAUAAAGCAUCUCAUGGAUGAUGCGAUGAUUCUUUUCUGUGAUCCGAAAGGAUGAUGGAGUGAUGUUAAUUCUAAAGCAAGAGCCGAGACUCCAGUAUGUUCUUUCAAAUGUGUCGAGCAUUUGAGAGUUUGAUUUUAAUUUUCUAAUUUUAGAAAUUAGAAGAAUCUGGUUUCAACGACAGCAGCGUGCUGGAGAUACAUUGGUCAAGCUACAAAGGGCUCACGGCGGAUACCUUGGCACACAGAGGCGAUGAAGGGA